UACGUAGGGUGCGAGCGUUAAUCGGAAUUACUGGGCGUAAAGCGUGCGCAGGCGGUUCGUUGUGUCGGCGGUGAAAUCCCCGGGCUCAACCUGGGAAUGGCCGUUGAAACUGGCGAACUGGAGUGUGGCAGAGGGGGGUGGAAUUCCGCGUGUAGCAGUGAAAUGCGUAGAGAUGUGGAGGAACACCGAUGGCGAAGGCAGCCCCCUGGGUUAACACUGACGCUCAGGCACGAAAGCGUGGGGAGCAAACAGG
rnacentral:rRNA from 1 species